ensembl:lncRNA CEROX1 cytoplasmic endogenous regulator of oxidative phosphorylation 1
ACACACACACAGCCCGUCUCGCGCCUGAGGUCUCGCCCGCAGGCCGGUGGCGCGGGGUCAGCUGCUGCCUGCGGUCCAGGACAGGGUCGGUUCCGCCGCGCAGCGCCCAGGCCCAGCUCGUCCAGAGUCUGCGGACAGCGCACGUCCAGAGCAGACAUCGCCCACUCGGGCUCACAGUGCCAUCCGGGUGAGGACCUCCGUGGAGAGCUCUCUUUGCCAAAGAAAAGCAGUUGCAUUAGGUCUGCGAGCAGGCAGGGUGGCCUCUUCCUGGCUCCCCAUCCACCAAGGAAGCUUCAAGUCCCUGGGACACAGGCACUUUCCCACACAGGAUGGAGCCGGGCCACCCUCACAGCUCCUGCCCUGCAGACGCUGGCCUUGUGGAGGGAGGCAGGCAGCAGGAGCAGUGCUUUCUGGGCCUCUGUAGCCAGAGCUGGCCCUGCUGCAGCUUACGUCUGCCUGCAGCCCAGACGUCCUCCUGGUCCUCCUGAUGCCCCCGACCUCCACGGAGGACGAGCAUUUCCAGCCCAGCCCUCCCCAUCUUCACCUCGCACUCCCCUGACACACUGGGAGCCUCCUGAUCCGUGAACCCGCGCUGGCGGGAGUAGCUACUGACCGCUGGGGACCCCUGCCCAGGCUGUUCGCAUGUGGAAAGGAUUCAGGGAGCAGGCGAUGCCCAAAGCGUGGAGACCAGCACUGCUCUCUCCC